rnacentral:rRNA from 1 species
CGGAAUAAUGGCUUCGGCUAUUAUUUAGUGGCGGAAGGGUUAGUAAUACAUAGAUAAUUUGUUCUUAACUUGGGAAUAACGGUUGGAAACGGCCGCUAAUACCGAAUGUGGUGUGUUUAGGCAUCUAAAUUACAUUAAAGAAGGGGAUCUUCGGACCUUUCGGUUAAGAGAAAGUCUGUGGGAUAUCAGCUUGUUGGUGGGGUAAUGGCCUACCA